rnacentral:sRNA from 1 species
GGCUGAGGGCUUUUAUACCUGCUCAAGUGGCUGGUGGCCAGGGUGGUGAGAGGUUUUAGCCACUGACUGUCCCACUAGGGUUUCUUCAAAUUUCUAGUCUGAAGUCUGAGCUGAGAAGUGUGAAGGGAGAGUUUGAUGAGUUAUUGAGUUUUUAUGAAGGACAAGAAGAGCAUAUUGGACAGCUUCGUGCUGAGAAUGACAAAGUGAAAUCUGAUAUCUGUGAGGCUGUGAAUAUGUACAACACAUUAGCAGAAGUAAGUCCCAUUCAAUAUGU